rnacentral:rRNA from 1 species
UACGUAGGUGGCUAGCGUUACUCGGAAUCACUAGGCGUAAAGCGCAGGUAGGUGGUUGGAUAAGUCCGUUGUGAAAGCUCCUGGCUCAACUGGGAGAGGUCAACGGAAACUGUCUGGCUAGAGUAUGGCAGGGGAAACUGGAAUUCCCGGAGUAGCGGUGAAAUGCGUAGAUAUCGGGAGGAAUACCGAUGGCGAAAGCAGGUUUCUGGGCCAUAACUGACACUGAGCUGCGAAAGCUAGGGGAGCAAACAGG